AGUUACGCUAGUUUAUGCCAAC
rnacentral:snRNA from 1 species